UACGUAGGGUGCAAGCGUUGUCCGGAAUUAUUGGGCGUAAAGAGCUUGUAGGCGGUUUGUCGCGUCUGCUGUGAAAAUCCGGGGCUCAACCCCGGACUUGCAGUGGGUACGGGCAGACUAGAGUGUGGUAGGGGAGACUGGAAUUCCUGGUGUAGCGGUGAAAUGCGUAGAUAUCUGGAGGAACACCGGUGGCGAAGGCGGCAUCCUGGACCGACAUUGACGCUGAGGCGCGAAAGCCAGGGGAGCAAACGGG
rnacentral:rRNA from 1 species